rnacentral:rRNA from 1 species
AUUGAACGCUGGCGGCAGGCUUAACACAUGCAAGUCGAGCGGGGAAGAGUAGCUUGCUACUUAACCUAGCGGCGGACGGGUGAGUAAUGCUUAGGAAUCUGCCUAUUAGUGGGGGACAACAUCUCGAAAGGGAUGCUAAUACCGCAUACGUCCUACGGGAGAAAGCAGGGGACCUUCGGGCCUUGCGCUAAUAGAUGAGCCUAAGUCGGAUUAGCUAGUUGGUGGGGUAAAGGCCUACCAAGGCGACGAUCUGUAGCGGGUCUGAGAGGAUGAUCCGCCACACUGGGACGGAGACACGGCCCAGACUCCUACGGGAGGCAGCAGUGGGGAAUAUUGGACAAUGGAGGGAACCCUGAUCCAGCCAUGCCGCGUGUGUGAAGAAGGCCUUUUGGUUGUAAAGCACUUUAAGCGAGGAGGAGGCUACCGAGAUUAAUACUCUUGGAUAGUGGACGUUACUCGCAGAAUAAGCACCGGCUAACUCUGUGCCAGCCGCCGCGGUAA